rnacentral:piRNA from 1 species
UACCUAGUGAUGCUUGUCUCAGCAGCCUCC